UAAAAACUACACAAGGAAAGAAAAAUACACCGCCACUUCCCCUCGAUCCAGCUGCUUCCUCCAUCUAGGAAAUCCUAGGGCGUGGUUUUGGGAUGCCGCCGCCACCAUUGCCGGGGUUCCCAGCCUCCGCCACCACCAUCGCCGGGGUUCCCAACCUCCGUCGCCUAACUUUGUGCUCCUACGCCGACCUCCGAGACCGCCGGCGUCGGCGCCAUCGCAACUCCCGGUCAGGGCAGGACUCAAGGGAGGUCGUGGCUCCCCCCAAUCCGUCUCAAUCCCACCGCCCCGCCCAGGAGGACAUGCAACGACAAGCGUUGGCGCAUCGUCGCGGGUGGCGGCGAGGAGGACGGGCCAUGGCAGCCCCCGAAGCACCACCACGACAGCACCUCGCCGCGGCCCCUCGGCAUGGGUUGGCGCCCCCCGUCCAAGAGAUGGGAGUAGAUGCACUACAGGAGGGAUAGGAGCUCGUUGAUCAUGAGGCUUAUAAGUAUCUCCUUGCUGAAUAUCAGGUUGUGUUCUCUCUCUACUUCAUGUUUUGUCUUAGAAGCAAAUAUAGUAUGCAAGUCAUAUUUUUUGACGGACAGUAAGUGGCAAUCUUUUGUUCAAUUGUCAUUUACAAUCAUUUGUCUGUAGGCGCCAUUUAUUUGUCUGAUGCAUUCUUAAGUUACAAAAUUAACUAUGGGCUCUAGCUAAUGUUGCAGUGACUCACCCUGUAAAUGUAGGUUUGGCUUUUGGCACCAUUGCAUUAAUAUCUGUAGACCUUCUUUGCAGUGUACCAUACUAUUGUCAAACCAGUCUUCAGUAGCAACCGGACAAUCAUCUUGCCACAUACGUGUCCGCUGGCAAGGCUCCACCCUGUUCAAGGGUGGUAUGUCCCAUUGGAAGUGGCUGUUGUGAGAGUCCCAGUGCUGCAUCUUUCAAACGUCUAGAUAAAAGGAUAAAUGAUUCGCCUGAACUUUUGGCAAAAGACUAAAAGCUACGCAAUUAUGAUUUUGAUGCUCCCUUCUGAUAGUACGAGAAAAUGGCAUGUACACUUUCCCCUGAAAACUAGAUGUCGUCUCUCAUCAGGUUGCCACUACACUUUCCCCUAAUUUCUUUUCAGUAGUUUAUAACAUUUACUUUUAAUCUUUUAAAAAUAAUAGGACUAUGUAAAUAUACUCCUCGAGACAAAGCAUAGAGUCGCUUAGUUGUGGUUUCUCUUUUAGGCCCAAAUAGACAACUAUAUAUUAUAUACACUGCUGUAGUGCAUGAAACCAUAUGCCAGUAUAGAAUACUUGUACAUCUUGAAUGGACUGGGGUGCAGGUUAGCCUGUUGUUUCUUCUCGAAAACCAUGUUUCCCACCACUUUCGUCUGGUUUUUUUCGUCUGGUUUUUUCCGUCCCACCUCCCACCACCGCUACACUAAAAAAAUCCGUAUGCCGCCCCUCCUCUCGAUCCACCGCUCCCGCUGCGACCUCUCUCUCUCCCUCGUCUCGCGCUCCACCGCCGCCGCCCCAUCUCUCGCUCCGUCGCCGCCUCUAAUGCUCCACCGGACCGACCUCUUCUUCGAGCGCGGCGGAAGGAGCAGCUCCACCUCUCCAUUCCCCCACGCGAUAACGCUCCAGACCCCCACCCCAUGCCCGGCCGCCGCUAGGGUUUCUACCUUCGCUGCCCCGCCGUCACCUCUCCUCACUUUCCCCCACCGCCGCCCCACUAUGCCCCCUCUCAUGUUUCGAUCUGGAAAACAGUAAGGAGAUGAUGAGCAGAGCUCCUAGCGCGAUGAGCGAUCAAAUCCGUGGCGGGCAGUGCCUCCCCAAACUCCCAUCGGGGCGAGGCACUGGAGUCCGCCACCCUUCCCUCUCACGUGCAUCGCGGUUCUCGAUCGGGCGCCGGCAUGCUCAAGAUGCAGCCUUUCCCUUCCCCUAUAUCUUCUCUCUCUCACUCCUACCAUCCUGGUUUCCUGAGUUCCGGCUGCUUGCGGAGUGGGCAUAGAGGGAGCGGUGUUGGGCUAGAAGGGAAGGGAGUGGAUCAGCCGUCGGCAUGCUCGCCGACGUGCCAUCCAUGUCCCUCCAACGAUGCCCUGCAUCGCCCACGUCCAGGUCCUCCAGAUCCUAAUUAUGCUAUGGCAUCUGAUUUUGCACAUGUACGUACCAAAGUUGAUUUUGUACACUGUUGUUGCUGAGAUCGCUGCCCUUAUUCUUAGUUUUUGCAGGAAGAAAAAUUAAGGGAAAUCAAAGUCAGAAGAACUAAAAUUACUAUGCACUGUGUCUACAAGAAGUGCAAGCUGCCUAUUCCUACAACAAGUAUGCAUAUGAGCAUACCACAUAAGGAUAAGGAUCCACGAGUGGGUAUUAUACUUUCAAAACGUUUGUUAGAAUCAUUCUUUAUACCACUUGAUUGUACUUUUAGCCACAGAGCUGCAAAUUUCAUGUGCUAAUACAUGAUAUAAUAGCAUAAUAGAAUCUGGAGGACCUUCAGACUUGGCUCUCUGCUGGGGUGAAGGGUGUGAAGUGGUUUGCCGCAGAUUUAGAGGCCAUUUUUCUUACCAAUUUGUAUAUGCUCUACAGUUCAGAGCUGGUUUUUAUUUUUCCUUAAAGAAAGCCGGUUUAAUUUUCUGCUGGUUUCUGCUUUACCUUCUUUAGCUCAUAUUCUUCUAUAACAUAGUGCUUUUUUAUCUCUUACCGAACGUAAGCAGCACACAUCGCAGUGCUUGACAGUGACAAGCAGGUUCUGCAGGGAACCAUGAUGCUAUGUGUCAAAGGCUUAAAAUUGCAGUCAGGAGGAUGUUGUCGGGCCUCCUGGGACGAGUAUAUCCUACUAAGUGAAAGUUGUCGCGGCGGAGACUCACUUUACUUCUUCUUCAGGUGUUCUAUUCUAUUUAGUUAAAUUAAUUGGAGGUGACCUAAUUGAAGCACUUGUUUCUCAUGAUCAGAUUGGCUGAUGAUACAGCAUGCACUACAACCUGGCUUGGCACAGGUACAUUAAAAUGUAUCAUUCUGUAGUAUGAAAGGUAAGGGAGAAAAACUGAGAGCCUUGCAUAAGCUACAACGCUUUUUUUAGAGCAACUACAAUGUUGUCAUGAGAGUUAUGCUCAACUCUUGCUAGGUACAUAAGGAUUUUCUACUUAACACCUCCACUCCGCACCACUAAAUAUCAAGAGAUUUGGUUUAUGUGUUUGUCGACGUGAUGUUUUCAACUGUCUAUUCAUUUUUAGUUAUGGAUUUAAUUUUUAGAAGCAACAAUUGCUGUAAGCUAGCAGAAUAUCAAUAGUUUAGAAAAGGUUGUUCAUCUAUUUGUACGAUACAUGAUUACAACAAACAUAUGCUUUUAUUCUUAAUUUUUAUGGUAGUCUCUACUCCUAAAGAGGGAGUCCGUAAGCAACAAUUUCUUUUUUAUGUGUUGAAUCACUGGUGUUCUCAAGGCUUUCCAAAUUGACCUUUACCAACAAAUCUCGACAAGGCAGUGUUCGAGGGUGUGCCUAGGUGAAACACAUGGUCUGCAUCACCCUUUCCUUCUAGAGCCGGUACCAGGUGUGUGCAAUUUGAUGAAAUACAGAUGUCUUGUGUUUUAAUCAGUAUGCCGCAUACUUUUUUCAUAUGUGCUUUGUUGCAAAAAAUCGAUGUAUCAUUUAAUUUAUUAACCAGUUUACCUCAACAAAUGACCUUCUACUUAGCAUCAAAUAAUGAAUGUAAAUGAUCUAGAAGUAUUUGCUUUGGUGCUUAAUGGAUCACAUCAUGCAUCCUAUUUAAACUGCAAUGCUUCACACCUAAUGUUAUUUUUUGAGUCAUGGAGCAGCGGCGGUGCCUUUCUAUACCAUGACUGGAUAUAGAAUAAGGUUGAUUUUUGUUUGCUCUGACGAUAGGGAGGCAAGCCCAGGAUCACAUUCUUGGCCCCGAUUGAAGGAACGACGAUUUUCAGGAUUGACGUGGAUGGAUUUUCUUGAACAUGACGGUGUCAUUUUUGUUGCCAUUGAACACUAUAGAUCAUUAGUUCAGAGGUUUCCUCUCAGAUUUAUUUGCUUGUUACUAAUUUCCUCUGUUUAUUACUAAUUUUUACCUACAAUGUGUUGUUUCCUGCCUUUUUCCGCAGGUAUGGUUAGACAUUUGCUUGCUUAAUCUGUCAUGCGAGUUUGUGCAAUGUGUAGUGAGCUUGCAUAUUUCCAUUUUAUUUAUCUUCUCAUGUUGGCAUGUAAUUGGCUUGGUCAUUUAAGAUGGCAAGAGAAGAUUGUGAAGCUAUUGUUACAGCACUAACAAAUAUUCCUCGUGUUCAUUCGUGAGUAGAGUAGAAUAAUAUAUGUGAUUUCUCGAAGCUAUGGUGGUGGUAGCUGCCAUAUAAACGGAAUGGAACGGAGUCGGAAGCUGAGGGGGGCUCAAUAAAGAAAAUGGCAGGGACAGAAGAAUAUAAUUUGUGUGAUUAUGUUAACAUAGAUUUGUCUCUCUACAUAUCUCUUUUCUGUAGGAGGCUUGUGAUAGCACACAACAAUGAAGGGGGCGAGAUAAAAUAGGAGGAUGUCUGAGGAGCAGGGCCAAGACUAAACAAAGAACGAAGAAUGCCUUUUCAUUUCAUGAUCAUAAAACACUACUAAGCUUAUUUUUCAUAUGGCAACUGUCGGAGCUAAGAGGCAGCCCGCGAAGCACCAACACGACGCCACCUGGUCUGCCAUCACCCAAGAUAUGGCUCCGGGCUAUUGAUAAUGGAGGUUCAGGAUCCUUCCUCUCAGCACGCACUCAUGGCAGAAUCAGCAGCGCGCCACGCGGAUGGAACCCGUCCGAGAUCACGGGAUGCUUCCUUACAUGGCUCGCCAAGAUUGCUAUUCCGGACUUUUUCGUAAACAAAGUGAAGAGUGGGACAUGAUCUGCACUUGUUCUAAUAUAAAAUAUACAGUACUUGUGUAGAUGUAACUCGAUCCACUGUGUCCGAUCAUAAGGUGACAAUGGCGGCACAACAUCCGGGAGGAGACGGUGGCAAACCCCCCUCCCACAACUGUAGCAAUCCACCAGGCGGCGGCACGAACGACCUUCAUCUCUAGAUGCUUCCCCGCACACCGAUGAGAUUCACGCUGAUGGUCUUGACUCAUGACCAAUGUCCUUCAGGCCUGAAGUCCCUGUAGUACCCAAGGUUGAGUGAUCACUGUUGCGCCUCGCUGUGUCCUAACUCCUGACCAAUGUCCUUCAGCCUCCGGUAGCUCAUUCACUUUCUAGCGUUCCAUCUACUUCUGUCAAGGUUUAAUGUUCUUGUACUAUUUUUCUGAGACAUGGUCACAGUUUCUUUAUGCAUAAUUUAAAAAAAAUCAAAAAUCUUGUUAUGUGCUGUUUAGUAUCUCUUUGUACCUCUAAUUUAUGCACCAAACUAGAGGGGGGGAGGAUGUUCAAUAUCUUUUCCAAUAAUAUAUGGUGAACAAACAAUUUGAUUUUCGUAUACUUGUGUCUUUCAUGUUCACUUGGUCCAUUAGUUUAAUUUUUCUUGAACUUCUAUUUGGAAGGAGGCAAAUUGAUCAGAUGUCACCAUCUCAGUGCCAGUCUAUUGUUACAUUGGCACAUAUUAUUCUGAUAUGUAAUAUUCUAAAUAAUAAUUUGAUUAUGUCCAAGUGAACAGUAGAAGAAUUAUCUGUCAGUGCAUAGAGUAUUUUCGACUUUCACCAUCGAGUCUUUGUAGGUAAGUUGUAUGUGUUUAAUCUACUAACACCUGCAUAUUUGACAUGAAAUGCAGGAAGGGCCACAACUAAUUGAUGUUCUCAUAAUGCUACCAUAAUGCUAUGCUUUCUCAUCUGUACUCGUAAUUGUUCAGGCAUAGAUGCAUUAUGGUCAUGGAGAACAAUACCAGUAUGAAUUGAUUGCCCUCCUGGUCAGUACUAUUUUAUUCUAAGUAUUCAGUUGCCUGCAAAAUAAUUCCGUAAUAGACAUCUAACUGCAUGUUGUUCCUCUGCUUCUGCACUGCAUAUAUAUUUAUUUUCUAGAUAUAUUUUCUUUUUUGCAAUUUAUGUUGUUUUGCUUACUACAAGUAACAUGGAGAUGUCAUAUGGUAUUGUUCAGUUUGUGAAAUGCAGAAGUGAGAGGAGGAACCAUGAAUUUUUAACGAGCAUUAGUUUGUGCCUCAUGGAUGAAGAUUGCAAUUACUACUUUGUAACAGUUCCAAACAGCUGAUCGUGCUCUGAAUUUAAGCCUAUCGAAAGCAAAAAAUGAAAGUUAGGUCUCUUGUAACAUUGUGAGGGCACUCAAGUCCUGAGCUUGCUACGUAAAAUUAUUCGCCACUUAUAUUUUGGAUUUUUUUAAAGUGUGAAGUAUGCAUAUACUAUUUUCAAUAUCUGACUCUUUUUAUAUAUCUAAUGGAAAUUAAGUGAUGGCAUGGUCUGCAAACAUGAACUAGGGCCAUUGCUCUAUUGCUAAGAUACAAUGGGUUGUUUAUUCAAUCCCAUUGCAUCUACCAGUGAUGGUUCCAAUUUUUGUGUCCUAUCUCCUUUUGGAGGCCUACUUCAGAUUCUAAUUCAAAUAAUGUCCAUUCAUGCUUUUAGGAAGGGGAUGAAAUGCUAAGAUGAUUUAAGUAUUGAACUGAGAAAUUAUAGGUUUGAGAUUCUUUUUACUGAAAUACAUUUCCAAUGUAAAAGGAUUCAUUAAAUAAAUACCUAAUUAGACUAUGCAAUGUUUACAUAUAUUUUGCAAAUCGGAGGAUACUCUCUGCGUUUAGAUGUAGGGUUAUUAGGUUAAUUUUCUUGCAAGGAAAAAUGUGAGUUUAAGAGUUCAUUAAGCUAGAACUUCAGAUCAGUAUGCGAUCUUCAACGCAGGAAGGCAUGGAUUCAGUGGCAAACACUUCGAUUAGGAUGCGGCCCUCUAGGUACGAAGGCAUGGAUUCAACGGCAAAAAAAUUGAUCGGGAUGCAGCUCUUUAGGCAAGAAUCCACAGCAAGAACAUCAAUCUGGAUGGAUUCAACCAGUGUGCUAGAUCGUUGGAUGACAUAAUACAGUUAUGAUGUGGGUCGAUGGUGGUACUCUAGCUCCAACCAAACUCUGGCUCAUCCGAUCUCCAGGCCUCAGUCUGUUUGGAAUCAGAUACAACCAUCUGAUCCAUGAUUGUUAUUGGGCAUCAUAUUUCAAAAUAUUCUUUUUUUAGAUUUUGUAAAGGUUGCAGAUAACAAGCCAUUGGGAGCUAAUGGUUCAGUUAGAUCCUGCAUUUUCUUGAUCUUUUUCCUGUUAGGUAAAUAAAUUACCAUGGUACUUUUCUAA